rnacentral:lncRNA from 1 species
UUGCCUUUCCAACUAAAAGCAUACGGAUUGCAUGUGCAAAUUACAUCUGAUACGGAGGAUAUUGCAUAUGAAAUAUAAUCGAAAAAUAUGCCACAUGUGUAAUGCCACUCAGAGGCUGACUUCUUUUUCAUUCAUAGAAUCGAAUCUGACCAUGAGUCUGCCUUUCCAAGCUCUGCAUUAUGGGCUCAUAGUAAAAGAAAUAUAAAAUUCUCGCAAUACAUAUUAAAUGACAUCUGAACCAUAUUGUCGGGAGCUCGUCUCCACUAAAAGCUUUCUUCAAGAUCAUGCUCAUGAGCCCUCACCAUAUGAAACCUCUGAAACACGCUGAAGAAUGCACUGUACUGAGAUUCAUAUAAAGUUAGAAGUAUUACUUAGCUAUAUUAAAAUUGAUGUACAAUAGUCUUGAAAUGGCAUAAUAACUCCAAGGAUGGAGAAAUUACUAACCUUGCAUCUAUAGUAGCAACGUUCAGCUCCAUAUCCUUUGUAUUUUCUUUAUCUUACACAAUC